CUCUAUACCUGGGAACGGCAUUUCGAACUGCUCGGCUAGAGUGUGGUAGAGGGUAGUGGAAUUUCCUGUGUAGCGGUGAAAUGCGUAGAUAUAGGAAGGAACACCAGUGGCGAAGGCGGCUACCUGGACCAACACUGACACUGAGGUGCGAAAGCGUGGGGAGCAAACAGGAUUAGAUACCCUGGUAGUCCACGCCGUAAACGAUGUCAACUAGCCGUUGGGGAUCUUGAAUCCUUAGUGGCGCAGCUAACGCACUAAGUUGACCGCCUGGGGAGUACGGCCGCAAGGUUAAAACUCAAAUGAAUUGACGGGGGCCCGCACAAGCGGUGGAGCAUGUGGUUUAAUUCGACGCAACGCGAAGAACCUUACCUGGCCUUGACAUGCAGAGAACUUUCCAGAGAUGGAUUGGUGCCUUCGGGAACUCUGACACAGGUGCUGCAUGGCCGUCGUCAGCUCGUGUCGUGAGAUGUUGGGUUAAGUCCCGUAACGAGCGCAACCCCUAUCCUUGGUUGCUAGCAGGUAAUGCUGAGAACUCCAGGGAGACUGCCGGUGACAAACCGGAGGAAGGUGGGGAUGACGUCAGGUCAUCAUGGCCCUUACGGCCAGGGCUACACACGUGCUACAAUGGCGUAUACAGAGGGCUGCCAACUCGCGAGAGUGAGCCAAUCCCUUAAAGUGCGUCGUAGUCCGGAUCGCAGUCUGCAACUCGACUGCGUGAAGUCGGAAUCGCUAGUAAUCGCGAAUCAGAAUGUCGCGGUGAAUACGUUCCCGGGCCUUGUACACACCGCCCGUCACACCAUGGGAGUGGAUUGCACCGAAAUGGUUAGUCUACCUUCGGGAGGACGAUCACCACGUAGUGGUCAUGACU
rnacentral:rRNA from 1 species